UACGCCUCUGUAGUCCCUCAUAAAGCUU
rnacentral:sRNA from 1 species